rnacentral:rRNA from 1 species
UACGUAGGUCCCAAGCGUUGUUCGGAAUCACUGGGCGUAAAGGGAGCGUAGGCGGCGUGGUAAGUCAGAUGUGAAAUCCCGGGGCUCAACCCCGGAACUGCAUCCGAUACUGCCAUGCUUGAGGGUUGGAGAGGUAGCUGGAAUUCUCGGUGUAGCAGUGAAAUGCGUGGAUAUCGAGAGGAACACUCGUGGCGAAGGCGAGCUACUGGACAACAUCUGACGCUGAGGCUCGAAGGCUAGGGGAGCAAAAGGG